GGGGAUGUAGCUCAAUUGGUAGAGCACUAAUAAAUGCGGAAUAGAGGUACGGGGUUUGAUUCCUCGCAUCUCCA
rfam:Hordeum vulgare subsp. vulgare, WGS project CAJW01000000 data, contig: morex_contig_42598